GAAAUGGAGCAGAGAGAGACCACACAGCGGAGAAGUGGCAGAAGUGAAAUUUGGGACCAGGCAGCAUGACUCUGGAUCCCAAACACUCAGCCACUCAUCAGAUUGGCCCAAAGUCUUCUGAAGGCUACAUCAACAUUCUGUAUCUUUCUUUCCCUGGGGCAAAAAUAUUUUCCUCUUCUACUUACAAUGGAAAGACAAUGUCCCGGACAGCUUCAAAGUGACAAGUUGCAAUGAGAGUCUCUCUGAAAUCUGUGAAGUUGACACGAUAAAUCUGUGAUUCUUCUGUUCCUAUGAAAAGAUGGUGUCCUUCCCCUCGAAGAGUGAUAGAAGUGAUGGCACCUUGUAACUGGAUUUUCCUUUGAAGAAAAGCAAAGAGAUUCCAGAUCCCUCUGCUCACCAAAUGUUUAAUGAAUAUGAACUUUUUAAAAUAAGAAUGUAUAAAUGAAUGUGACCCUAGAGACCCAUCCUUGCUCUGCAACUAAGUUAGUUCGACAAUAAGAAUUCAGUGGGGAUUCUAGUUCAAGGAGCCAGCAUGGGAAAUGCAGUAUUUCACAAAGACUAAUUUGUUGGUGGGACACAGAACAGUUAAUGAAGAAAGGAUGGACCCCCAAGUCAUAUCCCAGCUUCCUCACUAACUAGAGCUCUGUGACUCUAGAAAAGCUGCCAAAAAUCUCUGGACCUCAGUUUAUUCAACUACAGAAUAACUCCUCCUCUACAGAGUCGUAGUGAAGACUGGAGAUCAUGGAGGUAAUGUACAUGCGGCCAUAGAGCGCUGUCAGGAAAUACUGGCUAUUGGCAUCUGGCCUCUCUAGAAGACAAGAUAAAGCCCAGGACUCUAGGGGUAAAGUCAGGGAUCUGGUGGUCUGUUUUCUCUUUCUACUUCCCUUUCUCGUUUCCAUGACCUCAUGUGAGCUGCAUCCUCAGUCUAUUAAAACCCAAAGAGGCAGAAAUCUCUCCAUCCAAUUUGAGCCUAUGCUGUCACAGAAGGUUAGUUUGGAACAUAUAUUAGAAAUCUUGUAAUAACUGCUUUGAAUCUAAUUAUCUUCAUUCCAGUGGGAAUUUUUGUAUAUUAGAAACAAGGAAUUAAAAAAUUAGGGGGUUAAUUUUUUUUAUUUUUGGGGGGUAGUGGUUAAUUUUUUAUACUUACCUCACCUAUUCACAGACUACCUAACAUUGUUCUUAAGUUGCCUCUCUCUCCUAUUCCCUUCAUACAAACACAAAACUGGUCCAAAUACAUUCUCAGUAAGGCUUAUCCUGAGCUCUGAAUUUAAAAUUGCAGCCUGUCCCCUGUCCCCCACUUCAAACUUGGACCUCCCGUCUCCCUACAUCCUGCUCCACUUGUCUCCACUGUACUUGUCACCCUUUAAUACUAUGCACUGCUUGUUUAUUUGGUUUAUUCUACGGUCUUUUCCCUCUUGCUAGAAUGUAAGCUCCAUGAGGGCAGGGGGUUUUUCUUCAUUUUUGUUUGCUUUAGCCAUUGGCAUACCCCACACAUUCCCAGAAGAGCCCUCCAUACCUAGUGAGUGCUCCAUACAGAUCUGAAGGAAAACAGCCCAUACACCACAUCCGCUUUUUUCUGCAAGGUAUCGCAGGUACCCCGGGCCUCCUUCGAGCCGGCAGAGGCCACAUGGAGUGCAUCUAGGGGAAUCUGGCUUUGUCGAAGCUAAGUUCAACUUUUGCCUCUGUACCUCCUUGAAAUAUAUUUCCUGACCUCGCUAUCCAACAAGAUCACUCCCUUCUCUGAUCUUCUCUACAACAUCCAUGAUAUAUUUCACUUUAUCUGGAUCAUCAGAUUUGUGUUUCUAUGUUAUCCUGCAUUAUAGUGACUUUUUCACGUGACUUUUAUCUCCAAACCAGACUGCGUUCUGGGAGGGCAAAGACCAUAUCUUAUUUUAUGUUUUAAUAGCAUUAGUACAUUAGUUUGGAUGGAGAUUCUCAAUAAAUACUUGUUAAUGACAAUGUAUAAAGCUUUAUUUCAUUUUAUUUUAAUUAGAUAAGCCAGGAAAAGUACAUAGCAUAGUAUCUGGUACAUAGUAAUAGCUGGUAAUGUUGGCUAUUUGUAUUAAAAUUUGUAUUCAAAUGUAUUGGCUAUUAGCAUAGUGACUGCUAUCUACCUAUGUAAUAGGUACCCAUUGCAGAAUAAAUUUCAUUGAAUAAAAAAAUUUUG